rnacentral:rRNA from 1 species
ACGCGGGAAUCUUACCGGGUCCGGACACACUGAGGAUUGACAGAUAUAUACCCCGUGAUUUUAUCGCGGGGUUGAAAGAUGCUAGNUCUUUCNUGAUUAUGUGAUAGGUGGUGCAUGGCCGUUCUUANUUCGUGGAGUGAUCUGUCUGCUUAAUUGCGUAUCAAUAAUAGAGACCUANUAUACGCGUAGACUCAUGCNGUAGUGACCCCCCUUCACAGGGCGCGUGUCGCACGUAUGUUAUACGCACAGGUCUCCGAUAGCAACGAACGUGACCGUACUCUAUUGUUGCAGCGACAAUACCUUUNNACGGGUAUUACCGCUGCUUAGCAAGAUUCGUCUUGCAUUAAACUAUAGAGACCGCUGUUUCUUCUUUANACCAGAGGAANGAUACGGCAAUAACAGGUCUGUGAUGCCCUCANAUGUUCCGGGCUGCACACGUGCUACAAUGAUCAUUGCACUGUGCAUCUAACCCAAUGUGCGCGGACGCCGCCGUGCGUAUAUACUUUAUUGUGUAUGCGUAUCGUGCGUGCGACCGCNCCGAACCUGCUUCGAAAGUAAACAUUUCCA